rnacentral:rRNA from 1 species
AGCUUUCCAAGUGCAUAAAAUGAUUGUUGUGGUUAAAAAGCUCGUAGUUGGAUUAUAAAGAUUGUGUAAUGAGCAUCUUGGAUGUUUAUAUUUCAUUACCAUCUUAUUAUUUUUAUUAUAUUAGUAAUAAUAUAAUAACUGUUACUUUGAAUAAAUCAGAGGGUUUAAACCAGGUAUUUAUAAUGCUUGUAUGGUCUAGCAUGGAAUAACACUAUAGAAAAAGUUAGUGUGGUUUCACUAAUCUUUUUCAUGAUUAAUAGGAACAAACGGGGGCAUUCGUAUCGCUACGUUAGAGGUGAAAUUCUUGGACCGUAGCGAGACGUCCUACUGCGAAAGCAUUUGCCAAGAAUGUUUUCA